rnacentral:rRNA from 1 species
AGUGAACGCUGGCGGUAGGCCUAACACAUGCAAGUCGAACGGCAGCACAGUAAGAGCUUGCUCUUACGGGUGGCGAGUGGCGGACGGGUGAGGAAUACAUCGGAAUCUACUUUUUCGUGGGGGAUAACGUAGGGAAACUUACGCUAAUACCGCAUACGACCUACGGGUGAAAGCAGGGGAUCUUCGGACCUUGCGCGAUUGAAUGAGCCGAUGUCGGAUUAGCUAGUUGGCGGGGUAAAGGCCCACCAAGGCGGCGAUCCGUAGCUGGUCUGAGAGGAUGAGCAGCCACACUGGAACUGAGACACGGUCCAGACUCCCACGGGAGGCAGCCGUGGGGAAUAUUGGACAAUGGGCGCAAGCCUGAUCCAGCCAUACCGCGUGGGUGAAGAAGGCCUUCGGGUUGUAAAGCCCUUUUGUUGGGAAAGAAAAGCAGCAGGUUAAUACCCCGCUGUUCUGACGGUAACCAAAGAAUAAGCACCGGCUAACUUCGUG